ensembl:snRNA U6 U6 spliceosomal RNA
AUGCUCGCUUGGACAGCACAUAUAGUAAAAUUGGAGCAAUACAGAGAAGGUUAGCAUGGCACCUGCAGAAGGAGGACACGCAAAUUCUUGAAGCGUUCCGUAUUCAA